rnacentral:rRNA from 1 species
GUUAAACGGCCGCGGUAUUUUGACCGUGCAAAGGUAGCGCAAUCACUUGUCUUUUAAAUGAAGACCUGUAUGAAUGGUGGAACGAGGGCUUAACUGUCUCCCCCCUCUGGUCAAUGAAAUUGAUCUGCCCGUGCAGAAGCGGGCAUAAUUAUACAAGACGAGAAGACCCUUUGGAGCUUAAGAUAAAAGACCAACUAUGUCAAAAGUCCUAAAAAAGACUAAACCAAAUAGCACUGGUCCCAGUCUUCGGUUGGGGUGACCACGGGAGAAAACAAAGCUCCCACGCGGACUGGGGACCCCCCAAAACUAAGAGAGACAUCUCUAGUGCACAGAACAUCUGACCAAAAAGAUCCGGCUAUCCGACCAACGGACCAAGUUACCCUAGGGAUAACAGCGCAAUCCUCUUCCAGAGUCCAUAUCGACAAGAGGGUUUACGACCUCGAUGUUGGAUCAGGAUAUCCUAAUGGUG